AAAUUGAAGAGUUUGAUCAUGGCUCAGAUUGAACGCUGGCGGCAGGCCUAACACAUGCAAGUCGAACGGUAACAGGAAGCAGCUUGCUGCUUCGCUGACGAGUGGCGGACGGGUGAGUAAUGUCUGGGAAACUGCCUGAUGGAGGGGGAUAACUACUGGAAACGGUAGCUAAUACCGCAUAAUGUCGCAAGACCAAAGAGGGGGACCCUCGGGCCUC
rnacentral:rRNA from 1 species